CAGAGAAUAGUUUAAAUAAAAUAUUAAUUUUGGAGAUUAAAGAUAGUAAAAUUAUUUUCUCUGA
rnacentral:tRNA from 1 species